GAGGAAUAUUGGUCAAUGGACGGAAGUCUGAACCAGCCAAGUAGCGUGCAGGAUGACGGCCCUCCGGGUUGUAAACUGCUUUUAUGUGGGAAUAAAGUGGCGCACGUGUGCGCCAUUGCAUGUACCUCAUGAAUAAGGACCGGCUAAUUCCGUGCCAGCAGCCGCGGUAAUACGGAAGGUCCGGGCGUUAUCCGGAUUUAUUGGGUUUAAAGGGAGUGUAGGCGGUCUGUUAAGCGUGUUGUGAAAUUUAGGUGCUCAACAUUUAACUUGCAGCGCGAACUGUCAGACUUGAGUACACGCAGCGCAGGCGGAAUUCAUGGUGUAGCGGUGAAAUGCUUAGAUAUCAUGAGGAACUCCGAUCGCGAAGGCAGCCUGCGGGAGUGUUACUGACGCUUAAGCUCGAAGGUGCGGGUAUCGAACAGGAUUAGAUACCCUGGUAGUCCGCACUGUAAACGAUGGAUGCCCGCCGUUGGCGCCCUGCGCUUGCGGCCAAGCGAAAGCAUUAAGCAUCCCACCUGGGGAGUACGCCGGCAACGGUG
rnacentral:rRNA from 1 species